GACGAACGCUGGCGGCGUGCUUAACACAUGCAAGUCGAACGGAGUGGCGAACGCGUGAGUAACACGGGGGUGACCUGUCCUGCCCUUCGGGAUAAGCCCGGGCAACUGGGCCUAAUACCGGACAGUGUGGGGUGGGGCCGUGGCCUAUCGGCGUGUUGGUGGGCUAGUGGCCUGCCAGGUCGGCGACGGGUAGCCGGCCUGGGAGCGUGCACGGCGCCAAUGGGCCUGAGAGACGGCUCAGGCUCGUACGUGAGGCAGCGGUGGUGAGUGUUGCACACUAGGCGGAAGCCUGGUGCGGAGACGCCGCGUGGGGGAUGUCUGCCUACGGGUUGUAAACUCCUUUCAGCCUCGACGCGGUAGCUUGAGAAGAAGCGCCGGCUAACUACGUGCCAGCAGCCGCGGUAAUUC
rnacentral:rRNA from 1 species